rnacentral:misc_RNA from 1 species
ACAUAUUCACAUAUCCAUAUCCAUUCUUCCCCUUUUUGUCAUCAAUCAAAAAGGAAAUAGGAGAAAAUAAUCCAAAAAGAAGCAGGUCAGCCCAAAGUAGACGCAGUAAGGUAGACAGUAGCAAACUAAAAACCAAAAGUAGCAAACAGACUAGGAAACUAAAUAUGCAAGAAUCAGAACCAAUUUUAGCAGAGGAGGAACCACCCUU